rnacentral:RNase_P_RNA from 1 species
UAUGGGAAACCUGGCACUGGAGGAACGUCCGGACUGCACAGGACAGCGUAGGAGGUAACACCUCUCCACCGUGAGGUGAGGAUCAGAGCAACAGAGACGAGUCGGCUUUUCAGGGCAACCUGCAGAGCCGGGUGAAACGGGCAAUCUCUACGCGCAGCAAUACCAAAUAGGCCAACCUAAGCGGUGGCGGUUCGCCGUCAUUGUCUUGACUAGCGGUUCGCUAGUAGUGUUGGCGGGUAGGUAGCACCGAGCCGGGCAGGCGACUCCCGGCCCAGAUUAAUGGCGGUCACUCUUAGGCGUUGCAAAACGCCUAAGCGCACAAAAUCCGGCUUAUCGGCGAGCUUCACAC